CAGCUUCGGCAGCACAUAUUCUGAAUUUGGAAGGGAAGAGGGAAGAGUAGCUUGGCCCCUGUGCAAGGAUGACGUGCAAAGACACAAGGUGUCACUGAUGGUA